UACGAAGGGGGCUAGCGUUGCUCGGAAUCACUGGGCGUAAAGCGCACGUAGGCGGAUUGUUAAGUCAGGGGUGAAAUCCUGGCGCUCAACUCCAGAACUGCCUUUGAUACUGGCGAUCUUGAGUCCGGGAGAGGUGAGUGGAACUGCGAGUGUAGAGGUGAAAUUCGUAGAUAUUCGCAAGAACACCAGUGGCGAAGGCGGCUCACUGGCCCGGUACUGACGCUGAGGUGCGAAAGCGUGGGGAGCAAACAGG
rnacentral:rRNA from 1 species